GGGAGUUUGGUCUAGUGGUAUGAUUCUCGCUUAGGGAAAUACCUGAAAUGCGAGAGGUCGUGGGUUCAAUUCCCGCAACUCCCC
rnacentral:tRNA from 1 species